rnacentral:rRNA from 1 species
UACGUAGGGGGCAAGCGUUGUCCGGAAUCAUUGGGCGUAAAGCGCGUGUAGGCGGCCAGAAAAGUCCGCUGUGAAAACUCGAGGCUCAACUUCGAGCUGUCGGUGGAAACUUUCUGGCUAGAGUCCGGAAGAGGAGAAUGGAAUUCCUGGUGUAGCGGUGAAAUGCGUAGAUAUCAGGAGGAACACCCAUGGCGAAGGCAGUUCACUGGCAGUCUCCUGACGCUGAGGCGCGAAAGCGUGGGUAGCAAACAGG